AGGGUUUGAUCAUGGCUCAGGAUGAACGCUAGCUACAGGCUUAACACAUGCAAGUCGAGGGGAAACGACAUCGAAAGCUUGCUUUUGAUGGGCGUCGACCGGCGCACGGGUGAGUAACGCGUAUCCAACCUGCCCACCACUUGGGGAUAACCUUGCGAAAGUAAGACUAAUACCCAAUGAUAUCUCUAGAAGACAAUCUGAAAGAGAUUAAAGAUUUAUCGGUGAUGGAUGGGGAUGCGUCUGAUUAGCUUGUUGGCGGGUAACGGCCACAAGGCGACGAUCAGUAGGGGUUCUGGAGAGGAAGGUCCCCCACAUUGGAACUGAGACACGGUCCAAACUCCUACGGGAGGCA
rnacentral:rRNA from 1 species